CCCAACAUGGGCUUUUUAGCCCAAAGCAUUUAAACCCAAAGGAACCAUUCCAUGUUUGCAAAUAAGGGGGUUAACUUUAACUAUGUGGCUCAUUUAGAACUUGGGUCAUUGGUUCGACCGUUGGUUUAGGCAGGUUUGAUACCUAAAUGGUUUAAUAGAGCAAAUUGGACAGGUCGACGAUUGAACCGGUUGGACUGGUCGAUUUUUAAAACAUUGUUGAAAACAAAUAAAAAAAUUAUAUGACAAAAUGAUUCCUCAAAUUUCUCUUAAUAAAAAAUAGUUAAUCAUUUUUUUUAAUUAUAUUUAAUUUUCUUAGAAUUACAUCCCAUCAGCAUAAAGGAUGUUACCGUCCCAGUUUAAGAGAUCACAUGGCCAUGAAAUAGACCGGAGUGACCUAUAUAUGCAGCCGCCAUAAUUAGUACUCACCCACAAGUAGAUUAAUCCUCAGAGAAUAUACAGAGCCCCUUUAGCUGACAGUGGCCCCCUUUAAGGUAUCUCUCUGGUUGCUUUCAAUCAACUUCCUUCCUCUUAACUUUUUCGUUUUUCUUUGCCUGCAGGUACAUUUCAUAUAUUUAACUUCAAGCAGCUUCAUUCCUUCAUCAAAUGAGCUUCUUCCAGGUUGGGACCAUAUGAUGGCACUAGCCUUACAUAUCCUUAUAAGAUGGUGGUGGUGCGGAAUCCCAUAUCCAUGGUGGCAGGGGCCACCACCACGUUCCUCAUAGCAUGACUUACAGCUAGCACACUCCAAUUGGAUAGAUGAAUGCUAAAUACCCUGGUACUGGAGGUGGCGGUGGCGGUGAUCAAAUGAGCUUCUUCCAGGUUGGGACCAUGUGUUGAUGAUGCUAUGGAUGCAUCCCUCCCCCUCAUUUCUUUACGUACAAUCAUCAAGAUAUUAGUCAACUUUGGUCCCCUCGUUACUUUCUUUACCUCAGAUUUGAAUACGCGAUUUCUUUACAUACAAUCAUCAAGAAAAUACUUGUUUGUGUACGUAGUGAAUGCAGAUACAUGAGACAUUGACUUGCAGAAUUGUAUAGAACCUGAAAGAUCAUAAAGUUCACAAAUGGUUGCAGAAUUCUCCAGUACCACUGUACCAGAGUUCCAUACCAGUACCUUGUGGGGUAUUCUGAGGAUUGAAACAUUCAGGGCGUCUUCCAAAGGGCCCUUACAAAAGGUGCUUUUGAUAAUCUUUUUAUUCUCCUUUUUAAGUGAAUUAUAAGCAAAUCAACAUCUAUUAGUCCACAAAUAUUAUUGGCCUAUGCAACCUUUAUGUUGUGGACGAGAAAGGAACCGAAAAGAACUGAUCACCGACUCAACACCCAACUGAGAAGGGGAACUAAAGAAACUAGACAACGACAAUCACGAUGGAGUAUGAUUCACAUGAUGGUGCAUAUGGGAUUUUCUUCACUAAGGAAUUCACAGCGGCAACCAUAGCUUCUGUCACAGCGANNNNN
rnacentral:lncRNA from 1 species